UUAGGAAACUAGGGGGUGCUUCCAUCUGGAAGAAUCUGGAGACAGGUGCUGCAUGGCUGUCGUCAGCUCGUGUCGUGAGAUGUUGGGUUAAGUCCCGCAACGAGCGCAACCCUUGCCUUUAGUUGCCAGCAGUUCGGCUGGGCACUCUAAAGGGACUGCCGGUGUUAAACCGGAGGAAGGUGGGGAUGACGUCAAGUCCUCAUGACCUUUAUGACCAGGGCUACACACGUACUACAAUGGCCGAUACAAAGGGCAGCGACACUGCGAGGUGAAGCCAAUCCCGUAAAAUCGGUCUCAGUCCGGAUUGGAGUCUGCAACUCGACUCCAUGAAGUUGGAAUCGCUAGUAAUCGUGGAUCAGCAUGCCACGGUGAAUACGUUCCCGGGCCUU
rnacentral:rRNA from 1 species